UACGGAGGGGGCUAGCGUUGUUCGGAAUUACUGGGCGUAAAGCGCACGUAGGCGGCUUUGCAAGUUAGAGGUGAAAGCCCAGGGCUUAACCCUGGAAUUGCCUUUAAAACUGCAUCGCUAGAAUUGUGGAGAGGUAAGUGGAAUUCCGGGUGUAGCGGUGGAAUGCGUAGAGAUCCGGAAGAACACCGGUGGCGAAGGCGGCCUGCUGGGCUAUGGCUGACACUGAGGCGCGACAGCGUGGGGAGCAAACAGG
rnacentral:rRNA from 1 species